UACGGGGGGGGUAAGCGUUGUUCGGAAUUACUGGGCGUAAAGGGCUCGUAGGCGGCCAACUAAGUCGGACGUGAAAUCCCUCAGCUUAACUGGGGAACUGCGUCUGAUACUGGAUGGCUUGAGAUUGGGAGAGGGAUGCGGAAUUCCAGGUGUAGCGGUGAAAUGCGUAGAUAUCUGGAGGAACACCGGUGGCGAAGGCGGCAUCCUGGACCAACACUGACACUGAGGAGCGAAAGCCAGGGGAGCAAACGGG
rnacentral:rRNA from 1 species